CAAGGAAGUGACGGCUAACUACGUGCCAGCAGCCGCGGUAAAACGUAGGUCACAAGCGUUGUCCGGAAUUACUGGGUGUAAAGGGAGCGCAGGCGGGAGAACAAGUUGGAAGUGAAAUCCAUGGGCUCAACCCAUGAACUGCUUUCAAAACUGUUUUUCUUGAGUAGUGCAGAGGUAGGCGGAAUUCCCGGUGUAGCGGUGGAAUGCGUAGAUAUCGGGAGGAACACCAGUGGCGAAGGCGGCCAACUGGGCACCAACUGACGCUGAGGCUCGAAAGUGUGGGUAGCAAACAGGAUUAGAUACCCUGGUAGUCCACACCGUAAACGAUGAUUACUAGGUGUUGGAGGAUUGACCCCUUCAGUGCCGCAGUUAACACAAUAAGUAAUCCACCUGGGGAGUACGACCGCAAGGUUGCAACUCAAAUGAAUUGACGG
rnacentral:rRNA from 1 species